rnacentral:rRNA from 1 species
ACGCUAGCUACAGGCUUAACACAUGCAAGUCGAGGGGCAGCGAUGAAGAAAGCUUGCUUUCUUCAGGCGGCGACCGGCGCACGGGUGAGUAACGCGUAUCGAACCUGCCUCAUACUCAGGAAUAGCCUUGCGAAAGUAAGAUUAAUGCCCGAUGUUAUUAGGAUAUCACAUGAUGUUUUAAUUAAAGAUUUAUCGGUAUGAGAUGGCGAUGCGUCCCAUUAGCUUGUUGGCGGGGUAACGGCCCACCAAGGCAUCGAUGGGUAGGGGUUCUGAGAGGAAGGUCCCCCACAUUGGAACUGAGACACGGUCCAAACUCCUACGGGAGGCAGCAGUGAGGAAUAUUGGUCAAUGGACGCAAGUCUGAACCAGCCAAGUAGCGUGCGGGAAGACGGCCCUCUGGGUUGUAAACUGCUUUUAGUUGGGAAUAAAGUGCACCACGUGUGGUGUUUUGUAUGUACCAUCAGAAAAAGGACCGGCUAAUUCCGUGCCAGCAGCCGCGGUAAUACGGAAGGUUCAGGCGUUAUCCGGAUUUAUUGGGUUUAAAGGGAGCGCAGGCGGACCUUUAAGUCAGCUGUGAAAUACGGCGGCUCAACCGUCGAACUGCAGUUGAUACUGGAGGUCUUGAGUGCACACAGGGAUACUGGAAUUCAUGGUGUAGCGGUGAAAUGCUCAGAUAUCAUGAAGAACUCCAAUCGCGAAGGCAGGUAUCCGGGGUGCAACUGACGCUGAGGCUCGAAAGUGCGGGUAUCAAACAGGAUUAGAUACCCUGGUAGUCCGCACAGUAAACGAUGAAUACUCGCGAUUUGCGAUACACAGUAAGUCGCCAAGCGAAAGCGUUAAGUAUUCCACCUGGGGAGUACGCCGGCAACGGUGAAAC